rnacentral:rRNA from 1 species
AGUGAACGCUGGCGGCAGGCCUAACACAUGCAAGUCGAACGGCAGCGCAGCCCCGCAAGGGGUGGGCGGCGAGUGGCGGACGGGUGAGGAAUACAUCGGAAUCUACCUUGUCGUGGGGGAUAACGUAGGGAAACUUACGCUAAUACCGCAUACGAACCAUGGUUGAAAGCGGCGGACCGCAAGGCGUCGCGCGAUUGGAU